AACGAACGCUGGCGGCAGGCCUAACACAUGCAAGACGAGCGAUCCCUUCGGGGAUAGCGGCGGACGGGUGAGUAACGCGUGGGAACGUGCCCUGGGGUACGGAACAACCGCUGGAAACGGCGGCUAAUACCGUAUGAUGUCCACUGUAGCGAUAUGGUGGACCAAAGAUUUAUCGCCCUUGGAUCGGCCCGCGUCGGAUUAGGUAGUUGGUGGGGUAAUGGCCUACCAAGCCGAUGAUCCGUAGCUGGUUUGAGAGGAUGAUCAGCCACACUGGGACUGAGACACGGCCCAGACUCCUACGGGAGGCAGCAGUGGGGAAUCUUGGACAAUGGGGGCAACCCUGAUCCAGCCAUGCCGCGUGAGCGAUGAAGGCCUUAGGGUUGUAAAGCUCUUUCACCGGUGAAGAUAAUGACGGUAGCCGGAGAAGAAGCCCCGGCUAACUCCGUGCCAGCAGCCGCGGUAAUACGGAGGGGGCUAGCGUUUUCGGAAUUACUGGGCGUAAAGCGCACGUAGGCGGGCUGUUAAGUCGGGGGUGAAAUCCCGGGGCUCAACCCCGGAAUGGCCUUCGAUACUGGCAGUCUUGAGGUCGAGAGAGGUGAGUGGAAUUCCGAGUGUAGAGGUGAAAUUCGUAGAUAUUCGGAGGAACACCAGUGGCGAAGGCGGCUCACUGGCUCGAUAC
rnacentral:rRNA from 1 species